rnacentral:rRNA from 1 species
UACGUAGGGUGCGAGCGUUGUCCGGAAUUACUGGGCGUAAAGAGCUCGUAGGUGGUUUGUCGCGUUGUUCGUGAAAACCGGGGGCUUAACCCUCGGCGUGCGGGCGAUACGGGCAGACUUGAGUACUGCAGGGGAGACUGGAAUUCCUGGUGUAGCGGUGGAAUGCGCAGAUAUCAGGAGGAACACCUAUGGCGAAGGCAGCUCUCUGGGACGGUACUGACGCUGAGACGCGAAAGCGUGGGGAGCGAACAGG